rnacentral:rRNA from 1 species
UACGAAGGGGGCUAGCGUUGCUCGGAAUCACUGGGCGUAAAGGGUGCGUAGGCGGGUCUUUAAGUCAGGGGUGAAAUCCUGGAGCUCAACUCCAGAACUGCCUUUGAUACUGAGGAUCUUGAGUUCGGGAGAGGUGAGUGGAACUGCGAGUGUAGAGGUGAAAUUCGUAGAUAUUCGCAAGAACACCAGUGGCGAAGGCGGCUCGCUGGGACGUUACUGACGCUGAGACGCGAAAGCGUGGGGAGCAAACAGG